CUCGGAUCGCCGACAUGUUGGCUGCAGCGAGAGGCCGUCCUGCAACAGGAGGAGGACACGGAGAAACAGAGACCAGGUUGGAGGUGUCGCUGCAAUGCGUGUGAAGUUGAGCCGCCACUGAGAGUGAAACUCAAGCUGCCAGCGAGGGACAGUCCUGCAGGACGCUGUGAGCUGAACUUCAGACGGACCGAGGGACGUGUCUUGGGUUCCAGUCCUGCAUCCCAUGCCGCUCCACGUCAAACUUUUCCAAAUGUCUUAACCUUCCUUUCUCCUUCUCCCAACAUGGACAACAAUCUCUGUAGAGGAUAGGUCUGUCCAGCAACUGGACCCUCCUCCUCUGUCUCAACCAGACCUUUGGUCCAACAGGGAGUGGAUGUUCCUCCAGACCAGAAGUUCUCCUGUCCUCCAGUCUUGUUGCCGUGGUGACGGAGGUCCGGAUCACUGUGCCCACACGGUCGACUGUCGGGCAGGAAAACAAGGAGCGGAUCACUUUUCC